GUCUUUUUGUUAAUAAUUUAAAGUCUUGCCUGCCCACUGAAAAAUUGAAUGGCCGCGGUAUUUUGACCGUGCAAAGGUAGCAUAAUCAUUAGUUUUUUAAUUGAGAACUGGAAUGAAUGGUAGAAUAAAAGAAAAACUGUCUCUAAUUAAUUUUUUUAAAAUUUUAUUUUUAAGUUAAAAAGCUUAAAUAUUUUUAAAAGACGAGAAGACCCUAUAGAGUUUAAUAAAAUUUUAAAAAUAUUAUAAGUAAAUGAUUAUAUUUUAAUUUUUAAGUUUUAUUUUAUUGGGGUGAUUAAAAAAUUAAAUUAACUUUUUUUAUAAAUUAACAUAAAUUUAUGAAAAUUUGAUCCAAAAAUUUUUGAUUAUAAGAUUAAAUUACCUUAGGGAUAACAGCGUAAUUUUUUCAAAGAGUUCUAAUCGAAGAAGAAGAUUGCGACCUCGAUGUUGGAUUAAAAUUAAUUAUUGGUGUAGAAGCUAAUAAAUUAGGUCUGUUCGACCUUUAAAAUUUUACA
rnacentral:rRNA from 1 species